CCUACGGGAGGCAGCAGUGAGGAAUAUUGGUCAAUGGGCUUACGCCUGAACCAGCCAAGUCGCGUGAGGGAAGACUGCCCUAUGGGUUGUAAACCUCUUUUGUCAGGGAGCAACGCCGGCUACGUGUAGCCGGACUGAGAGUACCUGAAGAAAAAGCAUCGGCUAACUCCGUGCCAGCAGCCGCGGUAAUACGGAGGAUGCGAGCGUUAUCCGGAUUUAUUGGGUUUAAGGGGUGCGUAGGCGGAAUGCCAAGUCAGCGGGAAAAUCCCGGGGCUCAACCUCGCUCCGCCGUUGAAACUGGCGUUCUUGAGUGGGCGAGAAGUAUGCGGAAUGCGUGGUGUAGCGGUGAAAUGCAUAGAUAUCACGCAGAACUCCGAUUGCGAAGGCAGCAUACCGGCGCCCAACUGACGCUGAAGCACGAAAGCGUGGGUAUCGAACAGGAUUAGAUACCCUAGUAGUC
rnacentral:rRNA from 1 species